CAUGCACCUCGCUAGGUGAGGCGUCUGCACGGACACAGGCCACUGACCCCAAACGUCGAGAGACGCCCCGGGUCAGGACAGCUCCUCCCGGACGAAGGGUUGAGCCCAAGUGGCUCCCGCAUCGCGGGUUACGCCGUGCAGUGCCAAAGCUCUGUCGAGAAGGGGUGCUGA
rnacentral:sRNA from 2 species